UACGAAGGGUGCAAGCGUUACUCGGAAUUACUGGGCGUAAAGCGCACGUAGGCGGCUUUCUAAGUCGGGGGUGAAAUCCUGGAGCUCAACUCCAGAACUGCCUUCGAUACUGGAGAGCUCGAGUCCGGGAGAGGUGAGUGGAACUGCGAGUGUAGAGGUGAAAUUCGUAGAUAUUCGCAAGAACACCAGUGGCGAAGGCGGCUCACUGGCCCGGUACUGACGCUGAGGUGCGAAAGCGUGGGGAGCAAACAGGGU
rnacentral:rRNA from 1 species